rnacentral:rRNA from 1 species
UACAGAGGUCUCAAGCGUUGUUCGGAUUCAUUGGGCGUAAAGGGUGCGUAGGUGGCGCUGUAAGUCGGGUGUGAAAUUUCGGAGCUUAACUCCGAAACUGCAUUCGAUACUGCGGUGCUUGAGGACUGGAGAGGAGACUGGAAUUCAUGGUGUAGCAGUGAAAUGCGUAGAUAUUCGCAAGGAACACCCAGUGGCGAAGGCGGCUCACUGGCCCGAUACUGACGCUGAGGCACGAAAGCGUGGGGAGCAAACAGG